rnacentral:lncRNA from 1 species
AUGGAGUCAGCCUGGCUCUGGCCAACUCAGUCCUCUCAAUCUUUUGGAGGAGGAAACUUUCUAGAUUGCUUAUUGGGGAUGAAAUUUGAGUGUCUAUAGACUCAAACCAUUUCCUGUGUGUGUGUGUGUGUGUGUGUGUGUGUGUGUGUCUACUGUGUUGUGGUUGGACUUGAUUAGUCAUCUUCCUUCUUAUGUUCUCUUGCCAUUACCAUUAUAGACUAUCCCUAAAUCACAUAAGAUGAAGUUGAAGGAAUUGUUAUUCAGUGCUAAGCUAUUUUGCAAGCCUGGUAUUUUAUAAUUUUAAUUUUGUUGUUUUUGUCUUUGGGGACAAAGUUUCUUGUGUAGCCCUGGCUGUCCUGAAAGUAGGUGUGCAGAACAUGCGGCCUCAAACUUAAAGUCCACCUGACUCUGGCUCCAGAGUGCUGGGAUUAAAUGUGGGCCAACAUGCCUAGCUUUUUCUUUCUUUCUUUCUUUGUUUUUAUAUUAUUGACUGAUGGGCUAGAAUGUAGGUUUUUGUACAUGUCAAGCAUAUGGUGUUGUGCUGAUCUUCAUCCACGUUGUAAAAUUUGAAAUUUGGCAGAGAGAAUUUUCUGUUUCUCAGGAUGGCGAGUAUUCAUGACAUUAAUACUGCCUGAGCUUUACUGCCUGAGCUUUCUGAGUCGUUGGAUUGCAGGUGCAUAGCAUUCUUCUUACCUGUUGUGUUUGUUUUGAUUUUUUAAAUGAAUAUAAGUAUUUGAGUGUAUGCAUGAAUAUGUACAUCAUGUAUGCCUGGUUCCCAUAGUAGUGAGAAGAUGGGUUCAGAAUUCCUGAACUUGGGGUAAUUAAUAGUUGUGAAGCCCCUUAGAAGUACUGGCAAUUGAGCCCAAUUAUUUGGAAGACCAACAAGUGCUCUUCACUGGUGAGCCAUCUCCUGUCCAAUGUAGGAUCAACAUUUUUUCUGUCCAUUUGUACCUGUUCAAAGAUGCAUCCCCUUUAAAUAAGAUCUCAUUAGUGUUACAGAUUAAACUGGGACACUUCAGGAUUCUGGAAGAUGAAUAGAGAACUGGAGUGAAUGUGUAAUUCUUUGUGGAAACUCCAGUAAAAACCUCUGAGUCCUUUCUCUCUUUGUUGUUUGUUUGAUUGAUUAUUACAGGGGAGACAGGGUCUUAAUAUGUACCUCUGGCUGUCCUGGGUAGACCAGAGAUAUACCUGCUUCUGCCUCCUUUUUGUAGGUAGUAAUUGUUCAUACAAUUUCUCUGAUGUGUGCUCACUACUACUACUACUACUACUACUACUACUACUACUACUACUACCUCUUGUUAUUCUUGCUCUUCUUGUUCUUCUUCUCCUCCUCCUCCUCUUUCUUCUUCUUUUUCUUCCUCCUCCUCCUCUCUCUCUGUAUCUGUCUCUGUUUCUGUCUCUCUCUGUGUCUCUGUAUUUCUCUGUUAUUUAGCAUUCCUCUUGCAAGGCUAUAUCCUUUCAAGUAUAUUCAAAGAGCAAAGAAAUUUCAGAAUUGAACCUUAUUACUCAGUUUCCUUCUAAGAUGACUUGGUAAUUGCAUUAGAACUUCUUGGUCAUGAAAUAAGUAGGGGAAGUACCAGAAUCAUAGAAACAUAUUGUCAAUGAAGCAUACAUUUACAGUGAUGUCGGUGUCAUGGUUUCUGUUGUACACAUGUAUGGAAUAUUU